rnacentral:tRNA from 1 species
GGUAGAGUGACCGAGUGGCUAAGGAGCACGCCUGGAACGCGUGUAGAGCAAUAGCUUCGUGGGUUCAAGUCCCACCUCUAUCGCCA